AGUGAACGCUGGCGGUAGGCCUAACACAUGCAAGUCGAACGGCAGCACAGGAGAGCUUGCUCUCUGGGUGGCGAGUGGCGGACGGGUGAGGAAUACAUCGGAAUCUACUUUUUCGUGGGGGAUAACGUAGGGAAACUUACGCUAAUACCGCAUACGACCUACGGGUGAAAGCAGGGGAUCUUCGGACCUUGCGCGAUUGAAUGAGCCGAUGUCGGAUUAGCUAGUUGGCGGGGGAAAGGCCGACCAAGGCGACGAUCCGUAGCUGGUCUGAGAGGAUGAUCAGCCAAACUGGGACUGAGACACGGUCCAGACUCCUACGGGAGGAAGCAGUGGGGAAUAUUGGACAAUGGGCGCAAGCCUGAUCCAGCCAUACCGCGUGGGUGAAGAAGGCCUUCGGGUUGUAAAGCCCUUUUGUUGGGAAAGAAAUCCAGCUGGUUAAUACCCGGUUGGGAUGACGGUACCCAAAGAAUAAGCACCGGCUAACUUCGUGCCAGCCGCCGCAGUAA
rnacentral:rRNA from 1 species